UGCACAAUGGGCGAAAGCCUGAUGCAGCGACGCCGCGUGGGGGAUGACGGCCUUCGGGUUGUAAACCUCUUUCACCAUCGACGAAGGUCCGGGUUUUCUCGGGCUGACGGUAGGUGGAGAAGAAGCACCGGCCAACUACGUGCCAGCAGCCGCGGUAAUACGUAGGGUGCGAGCGUUGUCCGGAAUUACUGGGCGUAAAGAGCUCGUAGGUGGUUUGUCGCGUUGUUCGUGAAAUCUCACGGCUUAACUGUGAGCGUGCGGGCGAUACGGGCAGACUGGAGUACUGCAGGGGAGACUGGAAUUCCUGGUGUAGCGGUGGAAUGCGCAGAUAUCAGGAGGAACACCGGUGGCGAAGGCGGGUCUCUGGGCAGUAACUGACGCUGAGGAGCGAAAGCGUGGGGAGCGAACAGGAUUAGAUACCCUGGUAGUCCACGCCGUAAACGGUGGGUACUAGGUGUGGGUUUCCUUCCUUGGGAUCCGUGCCGUAGCUAACGCAUUAAGUACCCCGCCUGGGGAGUACGGCCGCAAGGCUAAAACUCAAAGAAAUUGACGGGGGCCCGCACAAGCGGCGGAGCAUGUGGAUUAAUUCGAUGCAACGCGAAGAACCUUACCUGGGUUUGACAUGCACAGGACGCCGGCAGAGAUGUCGGUUCCCUUGUGGCCUGUGUGCAGGUGGUGCAUGGCUGUCGUCAGCUCGUGUCGUGAGAUGUUGGGUUAAGUCCCGCAACGAGCGCAACCCUUGUCUCAUGUUGCCAGCGGGUAAUGCCGGGGACUCGUGAGAGACUGCCGGGGUCAACUCGGAGGAAGGUGGGGAUGACGUCAAGUCAUCAUGCCCCUUAUGUCCAGGGCUUCACACAUGCUACAAUGGCCGGUACAAAGGGCUGCGAUGCCGCGAGGUUAAGCGAAUCCUUUUAAAGCCGGUCUCAGUUCGGAUCGGGGUCUGCAACUCGACCCCGUGAAGUCGGAGUCGCUAGUAAUCGCAGAUCAGCAACGCUGCGGUGAAUACGUUCCCGGGCCUUGU
rnacentral:rRNA from 1 species